UACAGAGGGUGCAAGCGUUAAUCGGAAUUACUGGGCGUAAAGCGUGCGUAGUCGGUUAUUUAAGUCGGGUGUGAAAUCCCCGGGCUCAACCUGGGAAUUGCAUUCGAUACUGGAUAGCUAGAGUUCGGCAGAGGGAAGCGGAAUUUCGGGUGUAGCGGUGAAAUGCGUAGAUAUCCGAAGGAACAUCAGUGGCGAAAGCGCUCUACUGGACCGCAACUGACACUCAGGGACGAAAGCUAGGGGAGCGAAUGGG
rnacentral:rRNA from 1 species